rnacentral:rRNA from 1 species
UACAGAGGUCUCAAGCGUUGUUCGGAUUCAUUGGGCGUAAAGGGAGCGUAGGUGGCGCCGUAAGUCAGGUGUGAAAUCUCGGGGCUCAACCCCGAAACUGCACUUGAUACUGCGGUGCUCGAGUACUGGAGAGGAGAUUGGAAUUUACGGUGUAGCAGUGAAAUGCGUAGAUAUCGUAAGGAAGACCAGUGGCGAAGGCGAAUCUCUGGACAGUUACUGACACUGAGGCUCGAAGGCCAGGGGGAGCAAAACGGG